rnacentral:rRNA from 1 species
AUUGAACGCUGGCGGCAGGCCUAACACAUGCAAGUCGAGCGGAUGAAGGGAGCUUGCUCCUGGAUUCAGCGGCGGACGGGUGAGUAAUGCCUAGGAAUCUGCCUGGUAGUGGGGGAUAACGUCCGGAAACGGGCGCUAAUACCGCAUACGUCCUGAGGGAGAAAGUGGGGGAUCUUCGGACCUCACGCUAUCAGAUGAGCCUAGGUCGGAUUAGCUAGUUGGUGGGGUAAAGGCCUACCAAGGCGACGAUCCGUAACUGGUCUGAGAGGAUGAUCAGUCAAUGGGGAAAGAGGACACGGACCAAACUCGGACGGGAGACAGGGGUGGGAAAUAUUGGGAAAGGGGCAGAAGCGUAUCCUGGCCAUGGCGCGUGAGUGAAAAAGGGCAUCGGAGUGUGAAGCAUGUAAGGUUGGGGGGAGGAGAGGUAAUUUAAUACGGUGGUUUUUGACCGUAACCAACGAAAAAACCACGGGCAAACUUGGG